rnacentral:tRNA from 1 species
GGGAAAUAGCUCAGUGGUAGAGCGAGUGUCUUGCACACACUAAGUCUCGGGUUCGACUCCUGAUUUUUCC